CAAAACCCUGGCUUCAUCCAGCACUUGGGAAACUGCUCAAGAAAUUUUUUAAGUUUUCAUUUGCUGAACUGUUCUGCCUGGAUGUUUGUGCCCUCUCAGCCCAAGGCUGUUUCAAGCUAGCGUUUACAGCGCUUUCAAGGAGAAGGAUUAUCUCAAACAUCAGACUGCCGGAGAGACUGAAUCACUUUUCAAUCUGCCAGCUGUUUUUACAGCAACUCUUCAAUAAUAGAAAGAUGCACUUUCAGAAGACUUCUACAGCCAAAAAAGCAGUACCACACCACAAUCACACAGCCUGUGCUUUUUCGGUCCAACAAACACGCAAUGCAAACACAUAUGACAGCAAAGCACACUCACAGUACAUCAACUGUUAAGGAAAACACAGGCAACUUACAAGAAAAAGAUCUCAACAAGCAGCUUCCACCAAAUGCUGGCAUUCUUCAGGCAGAGCUCACGAGCAAAACAGCACUCAGCUCUUUUCGGGACCACGGCCCAAAUGUCUCCGCGUAUUAGAACAUUAAAAUCUGUUUGAAACAGCCCAGAGGAUUUAAUCAAUGUCACACUCAGCAAGGCUACUUCAGCUCCCCAACGCAACAGCUGAAUGUCUGCAUCCCACACAUCAGCUCUCGUCAAA